CAGUAGCCGCGGUAAUACGAAGGGUGCAAGCGUUAAUCGGAAUUACUGGGCGUAAAGCGUGCGUAGGCGGUUUGUUAAGUCUGUUGUGAAAUCCCCGGGCUCAACCUGGGAAUGGCAAUGGAUACUGGCAAGCUAGAGUGUGUCAGAGGAUGGUGGAAUUCCCGGUGUAGCGGUGAAAUGCGUAGAGAUCGGGAGGAACAUCAGUGGCGAAGGCGGUCAUCUGGGACAACACUGACGCUGAGGCACGAAAGCGUGGGGUGCAAACAGGAUUAGAGACCCCUGUAGUCCCUGUCUCUUAUAC
rnacentral:rRNA from 1 species